rnacentral:rRNA from 1 species
AUUGAACGCUGGCGGCAGGCCUAACACAUGCAAGUCGAGCGGAGCGGCGGACGGGUGAGUAAUGCCUAGGACUCUGCCUGGUAGUGGGGGAUAACGUCCGGAAACGGGCGCUAAUACCGCAUACUAUCAGAUGAGACUAGGUCGGCUUAGCUCGUUGGUGGGGUAAAGGCCUACCAAGGCGACGACCCGUAACUGGUCUGAGCGGAGGAUCAGUCACACUGAUGCUGAGACAGGGUCCAGACUCCUGCGGGAGUCAGCAGUGGGGAAUAGUGGACAAGGGGCGAAAGCCUGAUCCAGCCCUGCCGCGUGUGUGAAGAAGGUCUUCGGAUUGUAAAGCACUUGAAGUUGGGAGGCGUUACCAACAGAAUAAGCACCGGCUAACUACGUGCCAGCAGCCGCGGUGAGUC